CUGUACACUUGAGGAAGCUUGGGCUCAGA
rnacentral:piRNA from 1 species